GGGUCGUACUCUGCGGAUGUUGUAGAGCAUGAACCUACAGGAACGGGACACCGCCUUGAUGUUAGUUGAGAACGACAGGGUGUUGUCCAGGAUCACGCCAAGGUUCUUAGCGCUCUGGGAGGAGGACACAAUGGAGUUGUCAACCGUGAUGGCGAGAUCAUGGAACGGGCAGUCCUUCCCCGGGAGGAAGAGGAGCUCCAUCUUGCUGAGGUUCAGCUUGAGGUGGUGAUCCGUCAUCCACACUGAUAUGUCUGCCAGACAUGCAGAGAUGCGAUUCGCCACCUGGUCAUCAGAAGGGGGAAAGGAGAAGAUUAAUUGUGUGUCGUCUGCAUAGCAAUGAUAGGAGAGACCAUGUGAGGUUAUGACAGAGCCAAGUGACUUGGUGUAUAGCGAGAAUAAGAGAGGGCCUAGAACAGAGCCCUGGGGGACACCAGUGGUGAGAGCGCGUGGUGAGGAGACAGAUUCUCGCCACGCCACCUGGUAGGAGCGACCUGUCAGGUAGGACGCAAUCCAAGCGUGGGCCGCGCCGGAGAUGCCCAACUCGGAGAGGGUGGAGAGGAGGAUCUUAACUGACUUGCCUAGUUAAAUAAAGGUAAAUAUAUAUAUAUAUAAACAUUAAGGUGGUGCAGAGUUCUUGUCCUUGUAGGAAGGGCCCAGGGGUGAGUUGUGUUGAGGUGGUGCAGAGUUCUUGUCCUUGUAGGAAGGGGUGAGUUGUGUUGAGGUGGUGCAGAGUUCUUGUCCUUGUAGGAAGGGGUGAGUUGUGUUGAGGUGGUGCAGAGUUCUUGUCCUUGUAGGAAGGGGUGAGUUGUGUUGAGGUGGUGCAGAGUUCUUGUCCUUGUAGGAAGGGGUGAGUUGUGUUGAGGUGGUGCAGAGUUCUUGUUCUUGUAGGAAGGGGUGAGUUGUGUUGAGGUGGUGCAGAGUUCUUGUUCUUGUAGGAAGGGGUGAGUUGUGUUGAGGUGGUGCAGAGUUCUUGUUCUUGUAGGAAGGGGUGAGUUGUGUUGAGGUGGUGCAGAGUUCUUGUUCUUGUAGGAAGGGGUGAGUUGUGUUGAGGUGGUGCAGAGUUCUUGUUCUUGUAGGAAGGGGUGAGUUGUGUUGAGGUGGUGCAGAGUUCUUGUCCUUGUAGGAAGGGGUGAGUUGUGUUGAGGUGGUGCAGAGUUCUUGUUCUUGUAGGAAGGGGUGAGUUGUGUUGAGGUGGUGCAGAGUUCUUGUUCUUGUAGGAAGGGGUGAGUUGUGUUGAGGUGGUGCAGAGUUCUUGUUCUUGUAGGAAGGGGUGAGUUGUGUUGAGGUGGUGCAGAGUUCUUGUUCUUGUAGGAAGGGGUGAGUUGUGUUGAGGUGGUGCAGAGUUCUUGUUCUUGUAGGAAGGGGUGAGUUGUGUUGAGGUGGUGCAGAGUUCUUCUGACCUGUUGUCUCUCUGCACCCCCUGUGUCCAACUAAAGAACAGGCUUGAAUAGGUCUGUUACCUCACCAGAUAGGACCUGUGAUUGGCUGACCAGGUCAGCUGACUGUGUUCCCUGGCAACCUGGUCCCUAACAGGCCUGAGGCUGAGGUGGGGAAUGGUAGCCUCUGCUGCAGCUGAAAAGUCACAGAGUUUAUCUCUAUGUCCUAACCAGAGAGAGGGUUCAGUGAGGGUUUCAUGAUUAAAGUUAUAGGGUUUUGUAAACACGUUCUCUCUGUCUGUGACACUCGCUGGAGCUCUGAGGCCUAAACACCCUGCUAGCAGAAUCAAUCAAGCAGUGUGGUGCCAAGACAGCUUCUCCCUCAAUGUCAGCAAGACAAAGGAGCUGGUCGUGGACUACAGGAAACAGAGAGCCGAGCACGCCCCCAUUCACAUCGACGGUGCUGUAGUGGAGCAGGUUGAGAGCUUCAAGUUCCUCGGUGUCCUCAUCACUAAGGAUCUAUCAUGGUCCAAACACACCUCCUCAGGAGGCUGAAAAUAUUAGGCAUGGGCCCUCAGAUCCUCAAAACGUUUUACAGAUUCACCAUUGAGAGCAUCUUGACUGGCUGCAUCACCACUUGGUAUGGCAACAGCUUGGCAUCCAACUGCAAGGUACCACAGAGGAUAGUGCGGACGGCCCAGUACAUCACUGGGGCCGAGCUCCCUGCCAUCCAGGACCUCUAUACCAGGCGAUGUCAGAGGAAGGCCCAACAUUUCUUCAAAGACUCCAACCAUCCAAGUCAUAUGCUGUUCUCUCUGUUACUGCAUGUCAAGUGGUACCGAUGCACCAAGUCUGGAACCAACAGGACCCUGAACAACUUCUACCCCCAAGCCGUAAGACUGAGAAAUAGUUUGUUAAAUAGUUCACCAAAUAGCGUUGACCCUUUUUGCACUAACUUUUUUGACUCAUCACAUACGCUGCUGCUACUGUUUAUUAUCUGUCCCUUUAUCCUAGUUAUAUGUACCUAUCUACCUCAAUACCUAUUACCCCUGCACAUCAACUCAGUACUGGUACCUCUUGUAUAUAGCCAAGUUAUUACCUCAUACCCCUGCACAUCAACUCAGUACUGGUACCUCUUGUAUAUAGCCAAGUUAUUACCUCAUACCCCUGCACAUCAACUCAGUACUGGUACCUCUUGUAUAUAGCCAAGUUAUUACCUCAUACCCCUGCACAUCAACUCAGUACUGGUACCUCUUGUAUAUAGCCAAGUUAUUACCUCAUACCCCUGCACAUAAACUCAGUACUGGUACCUCUUGUAUAUAGCCAAGUUAUUACCUCAUACCCCUGCACAUCAACUCAGUACUGGUAACUCUUGUAUAUAGCCGAGUUAUUACCUCAUACCCCUGCACAUCAACUCAGUACUGGUACCUAUUGUAUAUAGCCAAGUUAUUACCUCAUACCCCUGCACAUCAACUCAGUACUGGUACCUAUUGUAUAUAGCCAAGUUAUUACCUCAUACCCCUGCACAUCAAAUCAGUACUGGUACCUAUUGUAUAUAGCCAAGUUAUUACCUCUUACCCCUGCACAUCAACUCAGUACUGGUACCUAUUGUAUAUAGCCAAGUUAUUACCUCAUACCCCUGCACAUCAACUCAGUACU